AAAUUAGCGUCGAUGAGUUCGCGGCGAUGACGGAACGGUGGAAAUCAAAACAUGGGGACGUUUUUUAUUUAUUUAUUUCUUUUCGUUAUUUGGAGGUGAAUUGCAAAAAAUAAAAUAAAGAUCUUACUAACUAUUCCCACAUUUUCGGGAAUUUCUCCACUCGUAGAGCGUGACCACUUUUAAGGACAUUUCUUUAGGGAAACGGCGGGGCAGACGUCAAGACAUUCGUUGGGCCACGGGUGACAGUCGGUCGGGCGGGGCAGCAGGUGGGACAGUAAGCGUGGGGAGCCAAGUUUUCAAGUGCAUAUUUCAUAUACUUUCUUGAGUCCUAUGAACUUAAGUCGUACAUAGGUAGUUAGAUAUUUUUUUAAACGUUAUUGCAUUUUUUUGAAUUCAAUAAUGAAAGAAUAAAUUAUUCAAAAUUCCAUCGUUCCUCCGUUCCUCCUACACUAGCGAUAUUCUUGUCGAUUAAUAUUGUCAGAGUAAUCUUUUCUGCAAAAUACCACAAAUUAGUCCAACGAUAUCGAUUGGCACAAUCAUCGAUUAAAGUUUAAAAAAUGACGACCGGCCGCAAUAAAUUGAAUUUCUAGUUGGUUAAAAUUCCUGGCCAACUAUUUCCUGCCGUCUAUCACUUUCUGCAUCCAGGACACGUAUUUACUGACGCGCGUGUAGAUUCCGGGCAAACCUGGACGUGCACAGCCGAUCCCCGUGGACACCACGCCCACCAGAUGAUGCUCCUUGGACAUCAGCGGACCGCCAGAAUCCGCCUGUGAAGGAUCGGUAGGACCUCUCGCACGCCUCGUUGUUCCAGAUCUUAACGGUAGCCUUGCGCAGUACAUCGGAUCGAUCGUUUUCCGCUUGGUUCUCGUGCGUCCAGCCCCAACCGGAAACUGUUCCGUACUCCUGCUCCAGACUUCGGUGCCCCUCCUCGGAUCCCACGCAGCUGGGCUGGAUGUGUGAAGAGAAUCGGAUUGGCUGUACCAGCUCCAGGAGGGCUGUAAAAGAAUAAAAUACCAAUUUGCAAUAGCUUAAGGAAUACUAAGAAUAAUAAGUAUUAUUUGAUUCGUCUCUGAUUCAUUAUGGUUAAUGUUAAUAUCCUUUGUUGAAACUAUUUCCUACCUAUGUAUUUCUGUUUGUUUUUUUAAAACCUAAGCGCAUAUUUUUAAUGGUG
rnacentral:lncRNA from 1 species